GAUGAACGCUGGCGGCGUGCCUAAUACAUGCAAGUCGAGCGGACAGACGAGGAGCUUGCUCCUCUGACGUUAGCGGCGGACGGGUGAGUAACACGUGGAUAACCUACCUAUAAGACUGGGAUAACUUCGGGAAACCGGAGCUAAUACCGGAUAAUAUAUUGAACCGCAUGGUUCAAUAGUGAAAGACGGUUUUGCUGUCACUUAUAGAUGGAUCCGCGCCGCAUUAGCUAGUUGGUAAGGUAACGGCUUACCAAGGCAACGAUGCGUAGCCGACCUGAGAGGGUGAUCGGCCACACUGGAACUGAGACACGGUCCAGACGCCUACGGGAGGCAGCAGUAGGGAAUCUUCCGCAAUGGGCGAAAGCCUGACGGAGCAACGCCGCGUGAGUGAUGAAGGUCUUCGGAUCGGAAAACUCUGUUAUUAGGGAAGAACAAAUGUGUAAGUAACUAUGCACGUCUUGACGGUACCUAAUCAGAAAGCCACGGCUAACUACGUG
rnacentral:rRNA from 1 species